rnacentral:rRNA from 1 species
UACGGGGGAUGCAAGCGUUAUCCGGAAUCAUUGGGCGUAAAGCGCCUGUAGGUUGUUUAAUAAGUCUGUUGUUAAAGCCUAGGGCUUAACCCUAGAAAAGCAAUGGAAACUACUAGACUAGAGUGUGGCAGGGGUAGAGGGAAUUUCUAGUGUAGCGGUGAAAUGCGUAGAUAUUAGAAAGAACACCGGCGGCGAAGGCGCUCUACUGGACCAUUACUGACACUGAGAGGCGAAAGCUAGGGUAGCAAAAGGG